GAUGAACGCUGGCGGCGUGCCUAAUACAUGCAAGUCGAGCGAACAGACGAGGAGCUUGCUCCUCUGACGUUAGCGGCGGACGGGUGAGUAACACGUGGAUAACCUACCUAUAAGACUGGGAUAACUUCGGGAAACCGGAGCUAAUACCGGAUAAUAUAUUGAACCGCAUGGUUCAAUAGUGAAAGACGGUUUUGCUGUCACUUAUAGAUGGAUCCGCGCCGCAUUAGCUAGUUGGUAAGGUAACGGCUUACCAAGGCAACGAUUCGUAGCCGACCGGAGAGGGUGAUCGGCCACACUGGAACUGAGACACGGUCCAGACUCCUACGGGAGGCAGCAGUAGGGAAUCUUCCGCAAUGGGCGAAAGCCUGACGGAGCAACGCCGCGUGAGUGAUGAAGGUCUUCGGAUCGUAAAACUCUGUUAUUAGGGAAGAACAAAUGUGUAAGUAACUAUGCACGUCUUGACGGUACCUAAUCAGAAAGCCACGGCUAACUACGUG
rnacentral:rRNA from 1 species